rnacentral:ribozyme from 14 species
AAAACAACAGCAGCAACAGUAAAAAAGAAGCACUCAGUCUCUGUUUGGAACCAGUCGCUCCAAUUUGGGAAAACCCACUUCUUUUUAACUUUCUUUCGUUCCUUCCUUCAUCCUCCUUCUUUACAAACACACAAGAGAUGAAUGAAUGGAUAAGUCAGUCAGUUUUCAAUGCGUCACGUCACAUGAAUGAUCGAAUGAACGAAUGAAUGAAUGAAGGAAUGAAGGAAUAAAAAUAGCCAUUGCUUUUUCUUUCUUUAAACAUCCACAAA